AUCCAGCUGACGAUUCCCAAGUGAGACGAAACGCGCGUCCUGGAU
rfam:Schistosoma mattheei strain Denwood, Zambia genome assembly, scaffold: SMTD_scaffold0000804